rnacentral:rRNA from 1 species
AGUGAACGCUGGCGGCAGGCCUAACACAUGCAAGUCGAACGGCAGCACAGUAAGAGCUUGCUCUUACGGGUGGCGAGUGGCGGACGGGUGAGGAAUACAUCGGAAUCUACUUUUUCGUGGGGGAUAACGUAGGGAAACUUACGCUAAUACCGCAUACGACCUACGGGUGAAAGCAGGGGAUCUUCGGACCUUGCGCGAUUGAAUGAGCCGAUGUCGGAUUAGCUAGUUGGCGGGGUAAAGGCCCACCAAGGCGACGAUCCGUAGCUGGUCUGAGAGGAUGAUCAGCCACACUGGAACUGAGACACGGUCCAGACUCCUACGGGAGGCAGCAGUGGGGAAUAUUGGACAAUGGGCGCUAGCCUGAUCCAGCCAUACCGCGUGGGUGAAGAAGGCCUUCGGGUUGUAAAGCCCUUUUGUUGGGAAAGAAAAGCAGCAGGUUAAUACCCCGCUGUUCUGACGGUACCCAAAGAAUAAGCACCGGCUAACUUCGUG